rnacentral:rRNA from 1 species
UACGAAGGGGGCUAGCGUUGCUCGGAAUCACUGGGCGUAAAGGGUGCGUAGGCGGGUUUUUAAGUCCGGGGUGAAAUCCUGGAGCUCAACUCCAGAACUGCCUUUGAUACUGUAGAUCUUGAGUCCGGGAGAGGUGAGUGGAACUGCGAGUGUAGAGGUGAAAUUCGUAGAUAUUCGCAAGAACACCAGUGGCGAAGGCGGCUCACUGGCCCGGUACUGACGCUGAGGCGCGAAAGCGUGGGGAGCAAACAGG